rnacentral:rRNA from 1 species
GAUCCGGGCUCAGGAUGAACGCUAGCUACAGGCUUAACACAUGCAAGUCGAGGGGCAUCGGGAAGAAAGCUUGCUUUCUUUGCUGGCGACCGGCGCACGGGUGAGUAACACGUAUCCAACCUGCCCUUUACUCGGGGAUAGCCUUUCGAAAGAAAGAUUAAUACCCGGUGGGAUAAUUAUUCCGCAUGGUUUGAUUAUUAAAGGAUUCCGGUAAAGGAUGGGGAUGCGUUCCAUUAGGUUGUUGGUGAGGUAACAGCUC